UUAAAUGAUGAUACUUAUUUUUUUUCGUUGAUCUAUUGAGAACAGAAAUAAAUUUUCUUUAUUUUUUAAGAUAUCUCAUCGGUUAUAAACAUAGUGAUUCCAUUUAUCGUUCUGAUGGGUGGAAUCGUUUAUGAUUAUAGCCAACUUAUAUGAGUAUCUUUUAAUGUGAUGAGUGAUCAACACCUUAUAUGUCAUAGUUACACUGAUA
rnacentral:snoRNA from 1 species